rnacentral:tRNA from 1 species
GGUCUCGUAGCUCAGUUGGCUAGAGCGUUGGCUGUACUGAAGUCCUUCCCUUGCUUUCGUGGGUUCGAUCCCACCUAGGUCA